GACGAACGCUGGCGGCGUGCCUAAUACAUGCAAGUAGAACGCUGAAGAGAGGAGCUUGCUCUUCUUGGAUGAGUUGCGAACGGGUGAGUAACGCGUAGGUAACCUGCCUUGUAGCGGGGGAUAACUAUUGGAAACGAUAGCUAAUACCGCAUAACAAUGGAUGACACAUGUCAUUUAUUUGAAAGGGGCAAUUGCUCCACUACAAGAUGGACCUGCGUUGUAUUAGCUAGUAGGUGAGGUAACGGCUCACCUAGGCGACGAUACAUAGCCGACCUGAGAGGGUGAUCGGCCACACUGGGACUGAGAUACGGCCCAGACUCCUACGGGAGGCAGCAGUAGGGAAUCUUCGGCAAUGGGGGCAACCCUGACCGAGCAACGCCGCGUGAGUGAAGAAGGUUUUCGGAUCGUAAAGCUCUGUUGUAAGUCAAGAACGAGUGUGAGAGUGGAAAGUUCACACUGUGACGGUAGCUUACCAGAAAGGGACGGCUAACUACGUGCCAGCAGCCGCGGUAAUACGUAGGUCCCGAGCGUUGUCCGGAUUUAUUGGGCGUAAAGCGAGCGCAGGCGGUUUGAUAAGUCUGAAGUUAAAGGCUGUGGCUCAACCAUAGUUCGCUUUGGAAACUGUCAAACUUGAGUGCAGAAGGGGAGAGUGGAAUUCCAUGUGUAGCGGUGAAAUGCGUAGAUAUAUGGAGGAACACCGGUGGCGAAAGCGGCUCUCUGGUCUGUAACUGACGCUGAGGCUCGAAAGCGUGGGGAGCGAACAGGAUUAGAUACCCUGGUAGUCCACGCCGUAAACGAUGAGUGCUAGGUGUUGGAUCCUUUCCGGGAUUCAGUGCCGCAGCUAACGCAUUAAGCACUCCGCCUGGGGAGUACGACCGCAAGGUUGAAACUCAAAGGAAUUGACGGGGGCCCGCACAAGCGGUGGAGCAUGUGGUUUAAUUCGAAGCAACGCGAAGAACCUUACCAGGUCUUGACAUCCCGAUGCUAUUUCUAGAGAUAGAAAGUUACUUCGGUACAUCGGUGACAGGUGGUGCAUGGUUGUCGUCAGCUCGUGUCGUGAGAUGUUGGGUUAAGUCCCGCAACGAGCGCAACCCCUAUUGUUAGUUGCCAUCAUUCAGUUGGGCACUCUAGCGAGACUGCCGGUAAUAAACCGGAGGAAGGUGGGGAUGACGUCAAAUCAUCAUGCCCCUUAUGACCUGGGCUACACACGUGCUACAAUGGUUGGUACAACGAGUUGCGAGUCGGUGACGGCAAGCUAAUCUCUUAAAGCCAAUCUCAGUUCGGAUUGUAGGCUGCAACUCGCCUACAUGAAGUCGGAAUCGCUAGUAAUCGCGGAUCAGCACGCCGCGGUGAAUACGUUCCCGGGCCU
rnacentral:rRNA from 1 species